GUUUCCAUAGUUGAAUUACAACGGUGGUUUUUCAUAUCGUUGGUCUUGGUUAAAGCCCAGGUGGAAAUU
rnacentral:tRNA from 1 species